AAGAACUGAAGAGAGUGCAAGUGUGCAACAGAAGAGAAGGAACAGCAACAGCAAAUAGUGGAAAACAGUAAGGUUCUUCUUCUUUUUCUUUUGAUUGUAAUGUAAUCUAUGCAAAUAAAAUUGAAUGUUAGUUGGAUUUAAUGAAUUUAUUAUCAAUCUGAACUCAAACCUAGUUCAGAUGGCAAUUUGAGAAGCUGAAUAUAAAAUUAUGGACAAUGAAGCCUAUGGUAGUUUGAAACUAAAAUUAGAAACCAUUAGCAUAUUUCAAAUAUUUGGACAAGCAAGUCUAUUCGCUAUGGUAAUCAAUAAUAAGAAAAUUGGCACUUUUACAGGAAUAUUGAAUAUGUUUCCAAUGGAUUUCAAAUUGUUCAUGUACUCUAUAUAUAUGUAUUGUUAAGAUUAACAUAUUUGAAAUCUUCCACAGGGCACAUUAAUGCAAUAACAUAUUGUUUAGUUCAUAACACUCACAUUUUGUUAUCCCAUAUCACCUUCUUUUUUUUUUUUUUUUUUUUUUUAAAUAAAUGGGGCAUUUUAACAACGAAGGUCAAGACCAGCAGCAUAAUUCAUGACAGUGAGAGUUAUCUCCACUGUGAACUGCCCUGGCCAGGUUACAUGUAGCACUAAGACUGUAUAUCCCCUGAACCAUAUAAAGAACAACUGUGAAAAUACAAACAAUAUAACUAAACCUUGAGCCCCUAAGACUCUGCAGCCGGCCUUAUGGAUAAAUGUACAGGCUUGCAGACUCUGAAACUGGUCCCUAUGGUGUUAUAUUCAUCGUUCGGUAUCGAAAUGAUAUUCGUUAUUAAGUAGAUAGCCACCAGACCAAUACCAAACUGCCGCCUUCACGUUACUAAUUGCUUUAUUUAAGUCCAUGAUCUUUCCUUAGAAAACAGCUCGGUUUCUAUAUUUCCAAAUGAUCCAUAAGAUGGCAAAAGGGAGAGACUGAGAGAGACCCAGAUCUUUGCUCCUAGACCAGUUCCUGGAAAGGAAGGCCAUUGUUCAAGUAGUUCUUGGAUCAGAUUAAAGGUCUGUCAGCAUUGCAUCUGUGUCAACUACAUUCUCCAACGCUUCACACCAAAUCAAUCUUGAAUGACCACACUUCACACCAACACUUCUCGAUUGAAGGUAAGUUAGUCUUUCUAUAACUGUACUAUAUAACUAUAAUAUGACGAUAGUCCCACAUCGAUUAAGAAAGACUUGAUUUGUCAGGACCAUUACUACAUAAGUUCUUCUAGUUAUCAAUUCAGGUCAUUGUCUUGUGCAUUUCCUUUUUGAUCUAGAUCAUGGGAAUCUGCAAUUGCAUCUCCAUCCAUUUGGCUUGCUGCGUACAGGUAUUAACAUCUUUCUAUCCUUUGUUUUGAUGUUAGGUUGAUGUUCUCUUAGAUUAUUUUGUUUGAUUGUUAUUGGCUUAUUUUGUUGGCUUUUUAUUUCCUUUCACGUAGUACUUUUCAUCUAUUUCUUUCUAAUUUGAAUGAAGUUCAUGUUCUUAUAUUGUUACCUUUUUAAUAUCCUUCUUAAUUUACAUAUGGUUAAUAUCGCACAAAAUUUUACGUCUAGUUAGGUUAGUGACCGACUGUCAUGCUAGUCCAUGAAAAAAUGUUAUACGACCUCUGGAGAGCAACCCUAAAGUUGGGUCAACUACUAGUAUUUGCAAGCUCGCCUUCAUUAAUUGGUUUGAGUCUAUAAAAUCUAACCUAUAGUUUUUUCAAUACCCCUUGCGUUAGUGGCAAUGCUAUUACAGUUUUUUCUCUCCGAAUAUUUUCAUUUAGAAGGAUGCCACAAGAGAUUUCAUUUUAAAAGACACUCGGGUUAAGAUCUUAGAUAAUACUGUAAUUGACCUUUUAUAUCUUAAGCACUGCCUUAAUUGUAGGCUCACAUAGUGAAGUUUAAAUCAUUCCUUAUUUUUCUCGUGUUCAUCAGCCAAAUUGUAGGAAUAAUACCUAUAGAAAAAGUUAUGUAGACCUGACUCACUCAUCAUGAAACUGUCUAGUAUAUGUAUAUCAUCUUAUGAGUCUGCCAUGUUCUGUCUACAACCUUUUGAAGGGGAGAUGAAGGAACAACAAGAUGGCUAUGGGUUGAGAUUUCCAUUCUAAAAUUGGUAGAAAUAGUAUGGAUAACACCUGCCUCAAUGAAGGAUUUCAUACAAUCUUGGUACUUUGGGGUUGUACUCUCUAAAGAUAAUUCAUCAUCUGUAGGUCUUUGUUAUAAUCUGUUGGGGCAUGGGGCUAAUCAUUGGAGAGGAACAAGGGGAUGUCGAGAUGUGGAAUUGCAUCAUUCCUAUGUUGAUCAGGCAUCCUUUAUCUAUUUGGGUUUAAAUUGUUGGGAGACCUACAGAGUGCUUUCUUGCUUAUUUGUACGUAGUCCAGAAGCUACAUGUAUUAUUUUGGGGUUUGUUGUGCCUUUGGGGGAUGGUACUCCGUUUCUUAUGUUUUCACAUAGCCCCACCACAUCCUACAACUUCUUAAUUUGUUUACUAAAAGAUUAAAACUAUUGUACUGUUUAAAAGAAAAGGAUUGUUCUUCAUAAAUAAUGUUACAUACUGUAUAUUGUAUCCUUAUUACACUAGUAAUCCCAUAUAAGACUCU
rnacentral:lncRNA from 1 species